rnacentral:lncRNA from 1 species
CUCCAUCAUGGCAAGAUGCUCUAAAUUCUCGUGCGUUUGAAAAAGAGCCUCGCCCUAUCCACAAAUAUAUUAAAAAAGAAGAAAAGGAAAAUACAAAUCAAAACUCAUAGGCGUGUGUGAAAGCAUUCAUUCCACCAUUAAUACGCAUUUGGGCAAACAUAUAGGCAGAUCCAUGAAAUAGUAGCAGAUCUGGUAACCAAACUGUUAAACCAUCAAAUGAGUACAAGAUAAGUGAAAGUAAACUUAACAUGGGACAAACAGUACACUAACACAAACAUAUUAGCAAAUAUAUUAAAAAAGAAGAAAAGGAAAAUACAAAUCAAAACUCAUAGGCAUGUGUGAAAGCAUUCAUUCCACCAUCAAUACGCAUUUGGGCAAACAUAUAGGCAGAUCCAUGAAAUAGUAGCAGAUCUGGUAACCAAACUGUUAAACCAUCAAAUGAGUACCAGAUAAGUGACAGUAAAAUUAACAUGGGACAAACAGUACACUAACACAAACACCAUUAGAUAUGAUGUGUGAACAAUUAUUAAACUUACCAAAUUAAUAAGAAUACUAAUAAAUGCUUCAAGCAAAAGGUGUUAGGUAACAGUUACUUACGGAGCA